CCCCUUUCCCAGAAACUGCGCCCGCCCAACGGCCCGGCCGCCGCGGCGGUAGGUGCCUGCGCCCGCCCGUGCCCCGAACGCUGGGGUCGUGUUGCACGGUAACGAGGAGCGAGACGGCUGGACGGCGGAGGAGGAUCCCCCGCUGGAACGAGGACCCCUAUCUAGAGGACCUCAGGUGCCCUGGCCGCGGCCGCCGCGUCCCAGGCCGGCCCGGUGGCUGCAGCCCUGGGCUCAGCUCCAUCACGCCCUGGCUCCCCGGGGCUCCUGCUGGCUGCCCCUGGAACAGGAGGAGCAACUCAAGCCCCACCACUGUUGGUGGGGAUGAGCGAAGGCCCUGGUGAAGAAAGAUUUCGGUGAAAGCGCCUGCUAAAUUUGAAAAGGGAAACCCAGCAGUGGCUUCUCACUUCUGGCUUCCACACUUUCACACAAAGGGGGACCUCGGAGCUGGGCAUCCUGACGUCCCUUCAAGUGCACAAAAGCCGACGACACGGUGUCCCAAGUGUCCCACGUUCAGAUCGUCUCGUGUCGUGCGUGACCUUCGUCGGCCACAGUUCUGCACACAGACGCCCUGUCUCCUGCAGCCGCGUCUUCGGUGUUUGCUUCUGUAACAAAGAGCCCGCCGGUCCCGUGCGAGCCGAGCCAGCCCGCUGCCCUGGGCCCCGCGGCGUCGCCGCCACUGGGACCUUCAUCGGGCUCAGCGCACACCAGCUUCAUUUCUGGGCUCCAGCCUUACUCUUUGCUGCUCCCCAACGACUUUUGAAGGAUAAAGAAAUCUUGCGCAAUAUGUGAUAACGUGGGAACACUGGAAAUAAACCUAAAAGCAGGGCUCAAGGGUAGAAAAACUACAGGAGACUCCACUGUUCUAAGUCCCUGCCAAAACUAAGAAUUUAAAAACCUUUUUAAAAGCUA